rnacentral:rRNA from 1 species
GAUAAACGCUGGCGGCGCACAUAAGACAUGCAAGUUGAACGGACUUAAUCUAAAUAUUUAUAUUUUGAAGCGGUUAGUGGCGGACUGGUGAGUAACGCGUAAGGAACUUGCCUUUUAGAGGGGAAUAACAGUGAGAAAUCAUUGCUAAUACCGCAUAUGCCAUAGAUAUCACAUGAUAACAGUUGGAAAGGAGCAAUCCGCUAAUAGAUGGCCUUGCGUAUGAUUAGUUAGUUGGUGGGGUAACGGCCUACCAAGUCGACGAUCAGUAGCCGGACUGAGAGGUUGAGCGGCCAAAUUGGAAGUGAGGUACGGGCCAGGAUCCUACGGGAAGGAGCGGAAGGGUAUAUUACGCAAUGGAGGAAACUCUGACGCAGUGACGCGGCGUAUAGGAAGAAGGUUUUCGGAUUGUAGACUAUUGUCGUUAGGGAAGAGAAAGGACAGUACCUAAGGAGGAAGCUCCGGCUAACUACGUG